GAAUAUGACAGUCACAAGAUUCACACUUCAAGCCAUGAAGCAUACUCUUCUUGCUACAUCACCUGGCAGGUGUCCUUGGCAGCUGGUUCCAAAGCUACAGCAGUAUACACAGGGUUUUGCUCACCUACGUGUCAUGGGAAUGGCUACUAAUGUUUUCCCCGCUCUUCUUUUAACCACUGGCUUAUCUGGGGACACAUUUCAAACAGGAUUUGUGGUUAUCGAGACUGGCUAAAUACCUGCACGUUCAUUUCUCUGUAAUUCCAUAAGCUGGCAAUACAAAACCAUGCAGAAACUGGAGGUUCAGGGCCCAUAUAUCAUGGCUUAACACAAAAUGGGGUUUGUCAAGGGUGUAAGAACAGAUGAACUGGUCAUAACAAACAAGUCCGGGACCAUCAAUGGAAGAUGAUAAAGGUACAUUCUGUGAGAGAUGGGACCUCAUCUGUUUCAUCCACCCUUGGAUUCGUGCACACCUAGCAUAGCACCUGGCACAGAGGAG